rnacentral:rRNA from 1 species
AUUGAACGCUGGCGGCAGGCCUAACACAUGCAAGUCGAGCGGUUGACGGGAGCUUGCUCCCUGAUUCAGCGGCGGACGGGUGAGUAAUGCCUAGGAAUCUGCCUAUUAGUGGGGGACAACGUUUCGAAAGGAACGCUAAUACCGCAUACGUCCUACGGGAGAAAGCAGGGGACCUUCGGGCCUUGCGCUAAUAGAUGAGCCUAGGUCGGAUUAGCUUGUUGGUGAGGUAAUGGCUCACCAAGGCGACGAUCCGUAACUGGUCUGAGAGGAUGAUCAGUCAAACGGGAACAGAGAAACGGUCCGGACUCCUACGGGAGGCAGCAGUGGGGAAUAUUGGACAAUGGGCGAAAGCCUGAUCCAGCCAUGCCGCGUGUGUGAAGAAGGUCUUCGGAUUGUAAAGCACUUUAAGUUGGGAGGGAGGGUUGUAGAUUAAUACUCUGCAAUUUUGACGUUACCGACAGAAUAAGCACCGGCUAACUCUGUGCCAGCCGCCGCCGUAAUAC